rnacentral:rRNA from 1 species
GACGAACGCUGGCGGCGUGCUUAACACAUGCCAGUCGAACGGAAAGGCCCUGCUUUUGUGGGGUGCUCGAGUGGCGAACGGGUGAGUAACACGUGAGUAACCUGCCCUUGACUUUGGGAUAACUUCAGGAAACUGGGGCUAAUACCGGAUAGGAGCUCCUGCUGCAUGGUGGGGGUUGGAAAGUUUCGGCGGUUGGGGAUGGACUCGCGGCUUAUCAGCUUGUUGGUGGGGUAGUGGCUUACCAAGGCUUUGACGGGUAGCCGGCCUGAGAGGGUGACCGGCGACAUGGGGACUGAGAGACGGCCCAGACGCAGACGGGAGGCAGCAGUGGGGAAUAUUGCACAAUGGGCGGAAGCCUGAUGCAGAAACGCCGCGUGCGGGAUGACGGCCUUCGGGUUGUAAACCGCGUUCGCCUGUGACGAAGCGUGAGUGACGGUAAUGGGUAAAGAAGCACCGGCUAACUAAGUG